CCUACGGGAGGCAGCAGUGAGGAAUAUUGGUCAAUGGACGAGAGUCUGAACCAGCCAAGUAGCGUGAAGGAUGACUGCCCUAUGGGUUGUAAACUUCUUUUAUAUGGGAAUAAAAUGUUCCACGUGUGGGAUUUUGUAUGUACCAUAUGAAUAAGGAUCGGCUAACUCCGUGCCAGCAGCCGCGGUAAUACGGAGGAGCCGAGCGUUAUCCGGAUUUAUUGGGUUUAAAGGGAGCGUAGGUGGAUUGUUAAGUCAGUUGUGAAAGUUUGCGGUUCAACCGUAAAAUUGCAGUUGAAACUGGCAGUCUUGAGUACAGUAGAGGUGGGCGGAAUUCGUGGUGUAGCGGUGAAAUGCUUAGAUAUCACGAAGAACUCCGAUUGCGAAGGCAGUUCACUGGACUGCAACUGACACUGAGGCUCGAAAGUGUGGGUAUCAAACAGGAUUAGAUACCCGGGUAGUC
rnacentral:rRNA from 1 species